GAUGAAGAACGUAGCGAAAUGUGAUAAUUAAUGUGAAUUGCAGAAUUCAGUGAAUCAUCGAGUCUUUGAACGCACAUUGCGCCCCCUGGCAUUCCGGGGGGCAUGCCUGUCCGAGCGUCAUUUCUGCCCUCCAGCCCGGCUGGGUGUUGGGCGCUGUCCCCCCGGGGACACGCCCCAAAGGCAGUGGCGGCGCCGCGUCGGGUCCUCGAGCGUAUGGGGCUUUGUCACCCGCUCGGGACGGACUCGUCGGCGCUGGUCUUCCUCCAGGCGACCCUUCGGGGCUCGUCUUCCUUCGGUUGACCUCGGAUCAGGUAGGGUUACCCGCUGAACUUAAGCAUAUCAAUAAGCGGAGGA
rnacentral:misc_RNA from 1 species